rnacentral:tRNA from 1 species
CAGAAAAUAGUUUAUAAAAACAUUAACCUUGGACGUUAAAGAUCAAAUUUAUUUGUUUUCUGA